UACGAAGGGGGCUAGCGUUGCUCGGAAUCACUGGGCGUAAAGGGUGCGUAGGCGGGUCUUUAAGUCAGGGGUGAAAUCCUGGAGCUCAACUCCAGAACUGCCUUUGAUACUGAGAAGCUUGAGUCCGGGAGAGGUGAGUGGAACUGCGAGUGUAGAGGUGAAAUUCGUAGAUAUUCGCAAGAACACCAGUGGCGAAGGCGGCUCACUGGCCCGGUACUGACGCUGAGGUGCGAAAGCGUGGGGAGCAACAGGAUUAAGAAACCCU
rnacentral:rRNA from 1 species